GCUUCACACUCAUAAAUCCCGCCUCCGCCAGCAAAGCUUAUGGGGCUGGGGACAAACUUUAGAAAUUUAGUAUACAAAACAUAAAUUUUUCUCCCCCCUGCUUGUGAUGUUGACAUGUAGCUACUGUAAGACUGGUUUGUGCUCAAGUCCUUUUUUUUCUGUGAAGCGCCAUUUUUAAAAGUGCUAUAACUGAAACUGAACCUCCUACCUGACAGACAGGAUAUUCAUGGUAAGCAUAGACACGUGCUCCUCCAAAGUCUAUAAAAUAAAAUAAACUCCCUAUUUAUGGAUGUUGAUCGCUUACUGUGUGCUGACCUGGUCCGGAAUGGUUAAUAGGAGGAUGUAAAUACACGUCUGAAAAUGAGACCUGGAUCUGACAUAUUACCAUUACUAUUAGUACAGUUGCAUUGGAUAUGCAAAGCAUUCUGGUACUUUGUCUUUGUCUUAAUGCAUGUGUUUUUCUGAUAUUUUUGUCUCAGCGAGAGUGAACAGGCAUAAACUGCGUUUAUGUUGUUUUGCCCCUACUAUAAAACAUUCAGGGCUUGAGCCCAGGUAUCCACCCCCUAACUUCACCCACUGAUCUACCUUCCUAGACACAUGCUCCUCUAAAGUCCAUAAAAUAACAUGGUGUGCCCCACCAGGGUUCGAUUUUAGGCCUAGUGCUUUUUAACCUGUACAUGCUCCCUCUUGGUAGUGUCAUCAGGAGACAAGGAAUCAACUUCCACAGCUAUGCUGAUGAUAUGCAGCUCUACAUCUCCGUGUCUCCUGAUGACACCAGGCCAAUGGAUGCUCUUUUAACUGAAUUAUAGAUAUCAAAUCCUGGAUGGCAGAGAACUUUCUCCAGCUUAACCAGGACAAAGGUUUUAGUCAUCGGUCAUGAGGCCCAGAGAGAGAAACCUUUAACCAAAACUACAAGCACUGUCUUUUAAUCCCUCACCACAAGUGAAAAACGUGGGUGUCAUUUUUGACACUGAGCUGACUUUUAGUCCACACAUUAAGAACAUAACAAAAAUAGUUUUUUAUCACCUGAGGAACAGCGCCAGAGUCCAUCCCAUUAUCUCACAGGCCAACACGGAGACGCUAAUGCAUGCUUUUAUCACCAGUCGAAUAGACUAUUGUAAUGCCCUGCUUUCUGGUCUUCCCAAAAAGAAUGUUUCAGGUUUACAAUUAUUACAAAAUUCGGCAGCACGUGUCCUGAAUAAGACCAGGAGCUGGGCCCCCAUAACACCAAUUUUGGAAUAAUUGCAUUGGCUCCCUGUGUGCUUUAGGAUCAACUUUAAGGUUCUUUUACUUGUUUUUGAAUGCCUUAAUGGUCUUGGGCCUUUUUAUCUUUAUCUGCUUUUACCUUAUGAACCUACAUGGACCCUGCGCUUCUCUGGCAGCAGGCUCCUAGUCAUUCCAAAAGUCAGGACACACACUCAUGGUGAGGGGUCUUUGUAAUUGUAUUUGUAUCUAUUGUCACUAAGAUGGUCUGUGUUUUAUUCAUAUUUUAGUUUUUCUUAUAACUAUUUUUAUAGCACUUUUAAAAACAGAAGUUUACAAAGUGCUUUGACAAACAGUUGCAAGCACAGAAGAUCAGCACAUAAAAUAAAAACAAAUAAAAACAAAAGCUCAGUUAAAAACAAGGCCUCCGAAUUGAAGGCCAAUUUCAUUUGUCAUAAGAAACCCAGACAAUACAAGAACCCUACAACAUAAAAAGCGACCAUGAGGACAAAAAUAAAAACAUAAAAUAGGUAAGAAAAAGAAAUGAAAUAAAAAGGGGGGGAAGAAAGCAGGAAACAGGAUAGUAAAUAUAAAAGAGCAUAUCAACAAUGAUAAUAAAAUCAUAAUAAAAUAAUAAUGAUGGUUAUAUUAAUGAUAAAAUGGAAUAACAAAAAUGAGCAGGAAAAAACAAUAAAAUCAAUAAAGGGCCGAAAAGGUAAAAUAAGAAAAGAUUAUAAGUAAAACAAAGGCUAAAACUAAAGUAAGUUAAAAUAAGAUAAAGAUAAAAGAAAAAGGGGGAAAAAGGGAAAAGACGGCAUUGACUUAAAAGAAGCAAGUGUCUCUGCACGCCUUAUCUCCUCUGGCAGUCGUUCCAAAGUCGAGGAGCUCUGAUAGAGAAAGCACUAUCACCUUUAGUUUUGAACCUCCAAUUUGGAAUGACCAGUAGACCGUCGCCAGAGGAUCUGAGGCUGCGAGUUGUCUCAUAAUGUAUUAAAAGCUCUGAAAUGUAGCUUGGAGCGAGUCCUUUAAGCGCUUUAAAAGUAGUCAAUAAAAUCUUAAAAUCAAUUCUAAAACUGACAGGAAGCCAGUGAAGGGAGGCUAAAAUUGGAGUGAUGUGAUGCCAUCUGCUAAAACCAGUUAAAAGCCGAGCUGCGGGAGAGUGAUUUCUUGUUUAAACCAGGGAGGAAAGAGUUACAGUAGUCCAGCCUUGAGAAAAUGAAAGCAUUGAUUAUUUUUUCGAGAUCUGGUGGGGUGAGUAUUUGUUUCAUCUUUGAAAUAGUACGCAGGCGAAGGAAACAGGACUGGACAAUCUUGUUGAUAUGGGUGGAGAAGGUGAGGUCUGAAUCGAAGGUUACUCCUAGAUUAUUGGCUGUUGGUUUGAUGAUUGCUGAAUAUGGACCGAGACAAGACUGAAUAAGGGGGGAGUUUUGUAUGUUACAGAGAAUUAUUUCAGAUUUUGAAUAAUUUAGUUCAAAGGAAAUUUUCUGCCAUCCAACAGUUAAUGUCACUUAGACAGACCAUGACAGCAGCUCAGCCUCUUGGAUCCUCAGGUCUCAAAGGAAGGUAUAUCUGUGUGUCAUCUGCAUAGCAGUGAAAGGAGACUUUGUGGCGCUAAAUUAAUUGGCUGAGGGGCAGCAUGUAGAUAGAAAAUAAAAUUGGACCUGAAACUGAACCUUGCAGUACACCACAGGCAGAAGUAGAGGAGGUGUGAUUGCCUAUGGUGACCGCAAAGGUUGGUUCUAAAAGAUACGACUGAAACCAGCUAAGUGCAGUGCCCCUGAUACCCACCCAGUUUUUAAGAUGCUUUUUCAGAGGAGCUACAGAGUCCAGGAUGGUUCCACACAUAAUGUUAAAAAGAUAGACAAGCUCUUCAGUGUUAAAAACUGGAUUAAAACCUGGGUUGAAGCCAAUUAAAGAUGCAGAGAUAAAAAGCUAUGAAAACUUGCCAGCAGACGUUGCAUUAAAAACUAUUCUAAAAACAGGAGUGUGAUCAGUAAAAGAAGGCUGGGAUGAAACCAUGGAGAAUAAAACCAGUUUGUGAUCUGACACACAGAUAUCCUUAGUUAAAAACUCCCCAGGACGAAGUCCGGUAAAUAAAAUAAAAUCUAGGCAAUCAAAUCAAAUCAAAUUUUAUUUAUAUAGCGCCAAUUCAUAACUGUCGUCAUCUCAAGACGCCUUUCAAAGGACAAGAGCUGGGGCCUGUUCUACGAAGCAAGUUCAACCUAGCAAGGUAGCCUUGGAGCUACCUCACUCAACUUAGCGCGGUAGCCAGCGGUUUCACUAAACUGAUUCACGACGCUGGUUAUCAACCUCGUAAAUUGAUCCAGCUUUGCUAUGAGCGCGUACACGCAUGUAAGGUGGAGCCCGCUGCAUCUGACCAAUCGCGAACAUGGACCAGUCUGGAGCGUCAGAGCAGACCGGAGAGCGAAGGACCGCGGACUUUACAAACGAGGAGCAGGAAGGAGACGAUCAUGAGAAAGUAUAAAGAAUUAAAAUCUGUCAUAAACCUCAAAAGCAACACAGUUGCCACUGCAAAAGCACGGAGGGAAUGCUGGCAGAAAAUUCAUCUUUGAUGCCAUUAUCACCCUGAAAUAGCACUGUUCAACAUGCGCUUUUAACUAAGGUGACCAGGCGUCCCCGAUUUCCGGGGACAGUCCCCAAAUUGCAUGAUCUGUCCCCGGCUAAAGCUGUCCCCGAAAAUGUCCCCGAUUUAAGCGUUUCAUGAAUGAGAACAAAAAUGUUGCAUGUGGGCUAGAACAACGGUUAUUACAGUGGGUAGGAAGCACGAGUUAGCAGUCCUGAACAACAGUAUUUACGGGGGUUAUUACAAGGGGCGUGCGCAGCUACUAAAUAGUACCGAGAUGUUGUCUGUGAUCACGCAGCCCAUGCAGCCCCUGCCCAUUCAUUUCCAAGAUGAAUUCAUUCAUUUGUUCAUUCCUAUCGUGUAUACAUUUUUUGUGUGAUAUAUCGGCCAUAUGAGCCUUUCAUAAAGGUGGUCAUCUGGAAAAGUAAGUGGGUCCGUGCGGUCUCUGAAAACUCUCGCGUGUCGGAGUGCUCCUCAGACAAUGCGAAGUUACCUCGCAGUAUUCCUGCCUCGUAGAACAGGCCCCAGGUCUAGACCACGCUCAUUGUUUGAUGAUCAAGAACCAACCUAAGAUGGGUUUUGGCCCAUCUCAACUAACAUGAGUAGCAGUGGCAAGGAAAAACUUCCUUUUAACAGGCAGAAACCUUGGGCAGGACCAGCCUCAUGUUAGACAGCCACCAUGCCGCUGCUGGUUUGGGGAGGAAUGUAGAGAGAUGGAGGGAGAGAGAGGAGAGAGAGGAGAGAGAGAGAGAGAGAAGAGGGGAGAGGGCAGGGGGAGAGAGAGAGAGAGAGAACAAGAUAAGGGGAAGGAGAGAGAGAAUGAGAGGCAAUGUCCCUUUACAUGAGUUGGUUCCUGUAUUGCCUGGGUAAGAUUAAAGGAGUCCAGAGUUUCAAUAAAAUCAACAGUUA